UGAAUCGUUUUUUUUUUGUUC
rnacentral:piRNA from 1 species